rnacentral:tRNA from 1 species
ACUUAAAAAGCUCAUAGAGCAUUGCGUUGAAGUUGCAAAGGGGUUUAUUUACUUUAAGUA